rnacentral:rRNA from 1 species
GACGAACGCUGGCGGCGUGCCUAAUACAUGCAAGUCGAACGGUCUUUUCUAUGGAAGCUUACUUCCACUGAGAAGAUAGUGGCGAACGGGUGAGUAACACGUGGGUAACCUGCCCAUAAGAGGGGGAUAACAUCCGGAAACGGGUGCUAAUACCGCAUAGUUUUCUUGAUCGCAUGAUCGAGAAAGGAAAGACGGCCUUUGUGCUGUCACUUAUGGAUGGACCCGCGGCGUAUUAGUUAGUUGGUGAGGUAACGGCUCACCAAGACGAUGAUACGUAGCCGACCUGAGAGGGUGAUCGGCCACAUUGGGACUGAGACACGGCCCAAACUCCUACGGGAGGCAGCAGUAGGGAAUCUUCCGCAAUGGACGAAAGCCUGACGGAGCAACGCCGCGUGAGUGAAGAAGGUUUUCGGAUCGUAAAACUCUGUUGUCAGAGAAGAACAAGUCGGAGAGUAACUGCUCCGGCCUUGACGGUAUCUGACCAGAAAGCCACGGCUAACUACGUGCCAGCCGCCGCGGUAAAAC